rnacentral:rRNA from 1 species
UAACACGUGAGUAACCUCGCCCUUCGACUCUGGGAUAAGCCUGGGAAACCGGGUCUAAUACCGGAUAUGACCUCCUGCCGCAUGGGCGGGGGGUGGAAAGCUUUAUUGUGGUUUUGGAUGGACUCGCGGCCUAUCAGCUUGUUGGUGAGGUAAUGGCUCACCAAGGCGACGACGGGUAGCCGGCCUGAGAGGGUGACCGGCCACACUGGGACUGAGACACGGCCCAG